UCGGGGUGCAGCGUCUUCCCGGGCUCCCUCAGAGGAGCCGAGCGCCGGGAGCCGCUGGGAGCCGCUGGGAGCCGUGUCCCGCCGGCCCGGGCCGCCAUGGAUCUCUUCGGGGACCUGCGGCGCAUGAACAAGCGGCAGCUGUAUUACCAAGUCUUAAAUUUUGCUAUGAUUGUGUCCUCUGCCCUUAUGAUAUGGAAAGGGCUGAUCGUCAUCACUGGGAGUGAAAGCCCCAUUGUUGUGGUGCUCAGUGGCAGCAUGGAACCAGCUUUCCACAGAGGAGACCUCUUGUUCUUAACAAAUUUCCAUGACGACCCGAUCAGAGCUGGUGAAAUAGUUGUUUUUAAAGUUGAAGGCAGAGACAUUCCAAUAGUUCACAGAGUAAUCAAAAUACAUGAAAAAGAAAAUGGGAACAUCAAAUUUCUGACUAAAGGGGAUAAUAACGAAGUUGAUGAUAGAGGCUUGUACAUAGAAGGUCAGAACUGGUUAGAGAAGAAGGAUGUUGUUGGAAGAGCAAGAGGAUUUUUGCCUUAUGUUGGCAUGGUAACUAUAAUAAUGAAUGACUAUCCAAAAUUCAAGAACAGGCUGCACAAUGGAGAGAAACCUGCCUGGUUUUAGCUGGAUGCCUUGAGCUCUGCUGGUUGCAUCCACCAAAGCAGCCACCAACACUGGCUUGUUUAGCCACCUAGCCUCUUUAAAGUUGUGGAGCUCUCUUUCUGAAAAAUGUCUUCAGUUCUUCAGGGAACUGUUACCACGGGAAGUCCAUUUUCAUGUUGUUUGCAGAAUGUCUGCCCUGGCUGCAGGUCUGGAGUGCUGGAGAUUAGUCUAUGCAGCAUCUUCAACAUUUACAAAGUAUUCCUUAGUGAUGGUGCCCUGUUAUUACAUUGCUGAUACACUUAAGCCAUUGUUUGUUCUGUACAUAUAUUAUAGCUGUCACUAACGUCAGGAUCACUACAAAGAAAAUGAUGAAAGGCACACCAUUUUUCUUUUAUCCCUUUUUAUUUCCGUAAAAUCUGCCUUGCUGAUAAAACAAUCACAGUUGUCUAAAAUGUGAAGGAAACAAAUUAAAGAGUGUUAUUGUGGUAAUGGCAUUUGAAACCCACUAAUGUCUUCCUGCCAUUGAGCACAACAAUAGUUCACUUUGCUAUGGAAUAUGUGAAAAGCAGAAAGGUAUUUUAAAAUGGAGAGAGCUGCUGCUUGAUGUUCAAACACAAAUUUAUGUAAGUAGUUUUCUUCUUUCAGAAAGGUUAUC